UACGGGGGGGGCAAGCGUUGUUCGGAAUUACUGGGCGUAAAGGGCUCGUAGGCGGCCAACUAAGUCAGACGUGAAAUCCCUCGGCUUAACCGGGGAACUGCGUCUGAUACUGGAUGGCUUGAAUCCGGGAGAGGGAUGUGGAAUUCCAGGUGUAGCGGUGAAAUGCGUAGAUAUCGAGAGGAACACCUGCGGCGAAGGCGGGUUGCUGGGCUGACACUGACGCUGAGGCGCGAAAGCUAGGGGAGCGAACGGG
rnacentral:rRNA from 1 species